UGGCUGUAAAGUGAAGUAUGCAGGCAUCAAAGAUAUAUGUUAAUCUUGAGGGAUGGGUAAACUAUCUCAAAACAGGUGGCUAACUUGGAAGGCACAAUAAUAAUAUUUACACAGAAUAAUUGAAUUUGCAAUUGUCUCUACCACACAAUAACUAAAGCUUCUCGUCAAAGCAAACCUCCGAAAUUAAUGCACCCACAUGGGAGU
rnacentral:lncRNA from 1 species